UACGUAGGGUGCGAGCGUUAAUCGGAAUUACUGGGCGUAAAGGGCUCGUAGGCGGCCAACUAAGUCAGACGUGAAAUCCCUCGGCUUAACCGGGGAACUGCAUCUGAUACUGGAUGGCUUGAGUUCGGGAGAGGGAUGCGGAAUUCCAGGUGUAGCGGUGAAAUGCGUAGAUAUCUGGAGGAACACCGGUGGCGAAGGCGGCAUCCUGGACCGAGAUUGACACUGAUGAGCGAAAGCUAGGGGAGCAAACGGG
rnacentral:rRNA from 1 species